GAGAAAAAAAGUUAGGUAAUCUGAGACUCAAGUAUUUUGACACGAAGCUUUUUGAGAUCUAAGAAUUUUGGUAAAUGGGUAAAAUGAAAUUAAGGUGCAAUGAAACCAAAGCGCAUUUCUUUCAUUUUCAGGAUAGAAAGGCUACAACUGAAGCGCCAAGAAUAUGCCCCGAGAACUCCGGCAGCGGCGGUGGCGGCGGCGGCGGCGGUGGCGGCGGUGGCAGCGGUGGCGGUGG